UCGAAACUACUAUCAUAUAGCCGAAUUUUCAUUUGGUCUACAUGCAUAAAACAUAAAAACUAAUGUUCUCGUGUGAUUUACUCAAAAUAAAGUUCAUUAAUACAAUAUUUGCACGAACAAUCUGGUCUGCUUAUCUGGUUUAUGCCUCAAAAUCUAAGCUUGAAACAGGUAUCCAACGAAAUUGGUUGAUUUUCCGAGAAAAAGGAUACGUAACAAUUCUUAGAAGGAACAACAGCGGCGUUCUGAGAAGCCCGGGCGGUCGGACCAAUCUUACGCAAGAUCGAGUUUGCCUGUUUAUAACCAGAUAAACUACCAAUAUGUCCUGGCACCAAACGUGAUCCGACUUGAAAAUGAGGAGACGCUUCUUGUUGGCAUUCUUGGCAAUGGAAGGAAUCAGAAAGUAACGGUUUACUUUGAAUAUCUGAACAAG